rnacentral:pre_miRNA from 1 species
UAACUACUCCCUCUGUACCAAAUUUCUUGUCUUAGAUUUUUCUAGAUACGGAUGUAUCUAAUACUAAAAUGUGACUUGAUACAUCCGUAUCUAGACAAAUCUAAGAUAAGAAUUUUGGGACGGAGGGAGUACUUU